UUUCCGUAGGUGAACCUGCGGAAGGAUCAUUAUUGUAUAACCGAGGUGCGAGGGCUGUCGCUGACCCGAAAGGUCGUGCACGCCCGAGUGCCCUCACACACAUCCACCUCACCCCUAUGUGCACCACCGCGUGGGUCCCCCUUUGGCUUGUUCGGAGGGGGGCUUACGUUUUCACACAAACUUUGUAUGUAGUGUAGAAUGUAUUUUUUGUUUUUGCGAUCACGCAAUCAAUACAACUUUCAACAACGGAUCUCUUGGCUCUC
rnacentral:misc_RNA from 1 species